AAGAAAUAAUGAAGUUUAUAGUGGCCAACUGGAAUACUUAGUGCUCGGAUGUUUGCAUAAUAUUUUAGGUGAAUACAAUUUGAUUUAUUAAAUUUAAUGAAUAAUGCCAGUUCAAGAAUAGUAUUAACCUGUUUCACAAUUUAUAUUGUUACCGUCGUUUUUAUUAUUGUGUCUUACAAUUUGCAAUAUUUCCCAUUAAUGACUAUGACUUUUAAAUAGUUACAAACAAUACUACUUUAUAGAUGCUCAAGUAUGCUCUCUGCAUGAGGCUUGU